AACGAACGCUGGCGGCAGGCUUAACACAUGCAAGUCGAGCGCCCCGCAAGGGGAGCGGCAGACGGGUGAGUAACGCGUGGGAAUCUACCCAUCUCUACGGAAUAACGCAUGGAAACGUGUGCUAAUACCGUAUACGUCCUUCGGGAGAAAGAUUUAUCGGAGAUGGAUGAGCCCGCGUUGGAUUAGCUAGUUGGUGGGGUAAAGGCCUACCAAGGCGACGAUCCAUAGCUGGUCUGAGAGGAUGAUCAGCCACACUGGGACUGAGACACGGCCCAGACUCCUACGGGAGGCAGCAGUGGGGAAUAUUGGACAAUGGGCGCAAGCCUGAUCCAGCUAUGCCGCGUGAGUGAUGAAGGACCUAGGGUUGUAAAGCUCUUUCACCGGUGAAGAUAAUGACGGUAACCGGAGAAGAAGCCCCGGCUAACUUCGUGCCAGCCGCCGCAGUAAAAC
rnacentral:rRNA from 1 species